rnacentral:rRNA from 1 species
UACAGAGGUCUCAAGCGUUGUUCGGAUUCAUUGGGCGUAAAGGUUGCGUAGGCGGCGUGGUAAGUCGGGUGUGAAAUCUCGGAGCUUAACUCCGAAACUGCAUUCGAUACUGCCGUGCUUGAGGACUGGAGAGGAGACUGGAAUUUACGGUGUAGCGGUGAAAUGCGUAGAUAUCGUAAGGAAGACCAGUGGCGAAGGCGGGUCUCUGGACAGUUCCUGACGCUGAGGCACGAAGGCCAGGGGAGCAAACGGG